rnacentral:rRNA from 1 species
AGAGUUUGAUCCUGGCUCAGGAUGAACGCUAGCGGGAGGCUUAACACAUGCAAGUCGAGGGGUAAAUGGCAGCAAUGCUAUGAGACCGGCGGACGGGUGCGUAACGCGUAUGCAACAUACCUUGUGCAGGGGGAUAGCCCGUGGAAACGCGGAUUAAUAUUCCAUAGUCCAGCUAUAUCGCAUGGUAUAGUUGGUAAAGAUUUAUCGGCACAAGUUUGGCAUGCGUCUGAUUAGCUUGUUGGUAGGGUAACGGCCUACCAAGGCUACGAUCAGUAGGGGUUCUGAGAGGAUUAACCCCCACACUGGUACUGAGACACGGACCAGACUCCUACGGGAGGCAGCAGUGAGGAAUAUUGGUCAAUGGGCGGAAGCCUGAACCAGCCAUGCCGCGUGAAGGAUGAAGGCCCUACGGGUCGUAAACUUCUUUUCCAGGGGGCGAAACGGCGUUCGAGAAACGCACUUGACGGUACUCUGGGAAUAAGCAUCGGCUAACUCCGUGCCAGCAGCCGCGGUAAUACGGAGGAUGCAAGCGUUAUCCGGAUUUAUUAGGUUUAAAGGGUGUGUAGGCUGAUGUAUAAGUCAGUGGUGAAAGUCUGUAGCUCAACUAUAGAAUUGCCAUUGAUACUGUAUGUCUUGAGUGUGGUUGAGGUAUGCGGAAUGUGUAGUGUAGCGGUGAAAUGCAUAGAUAUUACACAGAACACCGAUUGCGAAGGCAGCUUACUAAUCCAUCAUUGACGCUGAGGCACGAAAGCGUGGGGAUCAAACAGGAUUAGAUACCCUGGUAGUCCACGCCGUAAACGAUGAUCACUCGCUGUUUGCGAUAUACAGUAAGCGGCUAAGCGAAAGCGUUAAGUGAUCCACCUGGGGAGUACGAUCGCAAGGUUGAAACUCAAAGGAAUUGACGGGGGCCCGCACAAGCGGAGGAACAU